rnacentral:ncRNA from 2 species
GGUCAUGAGUGCCAGCACGAAGCCCCGGCUUGCUGGCCGGCAACCCUUGCGUUCGCGAUGGGGUGCCCCGGGUGAGGACCGGGCCGUGGUCGAACCCGACACGGCAAGUGCGAGCC